UCUCCGUAGGUGAACCUGCGGAGGGAUCAUUACAGAGUUCAUGCCCUACCGGGUAGAUCUCCCACCCUAUGUUAUUAUUACUUUGUUGCUUUGGCGGGCCGUUAGGCUCCGGCCCGACUACCGGCCCCGGCUGGUAAGCGCCCGCCGGAGGACCCAAAACCCUGAAUAUUAGUGUCGUCUGAGUACUAUAUAAUAGUUAAAACUUUCAACAACGGAUCUCUUGGUUCUG
rnacentral:misc_RNA from 1 species